rnacentral:lncRNA from 1 species
GACAAUAUUUGAUUCUUGUUACUAUAUUCCAUAUCAAAUCCUUUUAUAGGGUUCUGAUUCAUUCAAGGUUUAUGCUGACACAGGAUCUUGACCAAUAACAGAAUAACACCAUCAAGGAACUUCGAGUUAUCAACGAGACACCAUUUCUAAGAAACCUUAAGCAAUCUAUAAUGUAACUGUGAGUUUCCAUACUACUCUCAGAGUCAUACAACGCUUCACACCUUUAGAAAUAAC